GCCCGCUCAGUCAGUAGUUUGAUCCGUGGCUCGAGGACGAACGCUGGCGGCGUGCUUAACACAUGCAAGUCGAGCGGUAAGGCCCCUUCGGGGGGUACACGAGCGGCGAACGGGUGAGUAACACGUGAGCAAUCUGCCCAUCACAUCGGGAUAACUUCGGGAAACCGAAGCUAAUACCGGAUACGACCACUUCAGGCAUCUGACGGUGGUGGAAAGUUCCGGCGGUGAUGGAUGAGCUCGCGGCCUAUCAGCUUGUUGUGGGUAACGGCCACCAAGGCUUCGACGGGUAGCCGGCCUGAGAGGGUGACCGGCCACACUGGGACUGAGACACGGCCCAG
rnacentral:rRNA from 1 species